rnacentral:rRNA from 1 species
AUUGAACGCUGGCGGCAUGCUUUACACAUGCAAGUCGAACGGCAGCGCGGGCUUCGGCCUGGCGGCGAGUGGCGAACGGGUGAGUAAUACAUCGGAACGUGCCCAGUAGUGGGGGAUAGCUCGGCGAAAGCCGGAUUAAUACCGCAUACGACCUGAGGGUGAAAGCGGGGGAUCUUCGGACCUCGCGCUAUUGGAGCGGCCGAUGGCGGAUUAGCUAGUUGGUGGGGUAAAGGCCUACCAAGGCGACGAUCUGUAGCUGGUCUGAGAGGACGACCAGCCACACUGGGACUGAGACACGGCCCAGACUCAUACGGGAGGCAGCAGUGGGGAAUUUUGGACAAUGGGCGAAAGCCUGAUCCAGCAAUGCCGCGUGUGUGAUGAAGGCCUUCGGGUUGUAAAGCACUUUUGGCGGGAACGAAAAGGACUGUGCCAAUACCACGGUUCGAUGACGGUACCCGCAGAAUAAGCACCGGCUAACUACGUG